CUGACUUGGUUGAUACAUGUCGUAUCCCAAUUGCAUAGACUGAUGCUCAUGUUGUCAAUCACUGGGUUGUCUGGUCCGGAUUUGAUUAUUUACAGACUGCCGUCAUACAGAUGGAAUAUUGCUAUGUGGCAACAAUAGUGGAUUUUUACACUUUAAAGAUGCUCAUCCUCCCAACAUAUCAACUAACAGCAGUUAUUUCAUUUCAAUGUAUCAAUGAUGUAUCUUUCCUAUAAGACUGGCCAGAUGUAUCAUCUGUAUAUGAUUAUUGUAUCAUUUUUGUACCAUCAUAGAAAUGUGAUUCUUUUUAUGAUUAUGUGGUUUGUUAGAUUGUGAAAUGAAGCGUUGUGAUUGGUCAGUUGUGAUUGGUCAGUUAUGUCAAAAGUACAUCUGACUUAUGCAAUUGAAUGCUUUCUACAGCAAUUAAAUUCCAGUGCAUUAUAGCACAGAAUGGACACAAUGAUGUCGCAAUAAAGUUUAUAUCAAUAUAAACUACCAUAGUAGCCGUAUUAAGUGCCCUACUCAAUAAGCACGCCCUAAGCAGGCUAAAAUCAUCAUAACUUAAACUAUGUUGUGGUGCUACUCUAUUGACCUGUCGCUAAAUGUGAAUUGAUUCACUUUUUCUUUGAUAUAUGACGCUGUAUCUUUGACAAUUUGACCAAUCGUCUAGGAUUCUGGGUUGUACGGCUUCAUUUUAGUGAGAGAUAAACUCAAGAUAGAUAUAUUGAACUCCUGAUUCAUUCAGACACAUCCUGAAUAUGCAGUGAAAUCAAGACCACAUGAGCAGACAUCCUUAUUGUGUUUAGAGUGAGCGUGGGGUUAAACAACACACAAACAAAUAUUAUUGUGCAUACUUGACCAUUAUCUCCUGUGGGAAAACAUCCAGGUGCUGACAUUCUACAGAUAAUUAUUGCAUUAAAUGUUUAAAGGGCUUAAUAAGAGUGCAAUAAGUGCAAGAUCCAUUUUCGAACAUUAAAGAAGUCCCAAUAUAUAAUACUUAUUACAUUCCCCAUGCUCUGAUCUAGGGCAUUAAAGUAAAGGGUGGCCCAAUCAUCUAAGGUGCCACAAUUAGCUGUGCAGAGUUGCAUCCCUUGGGCACGCCAGAAACCUAUGAUUGUGGGUUUGAAUCCUGGUUCGCCCCGAUUAUGUUUCUAGGUUUGUCAGCACCAUUACUGUGCUCGUGGGUUUCACCGAAGUGUUAAAUGUCUGAGACCUGCAUCACUUCGGGCUUCCCCCCACAUUAAGCUGACACGCGCGAUAUUACUGGAAUACUGUUAAAAGCGGUGUUAAACCCAACUCACUCCUUCACUAAAAUUUGAGAAGUCAAAAUUUGAUUUUUUACCCAUAAGGUCCCUGAUCUCAAGGUUGGUCACAUAUGUUGACAGUUCAUUUGGUUAAGAAUUAUAUAUGGAAUUGUUUUCACUGAUCAAAAUGAAAAUGUUAUUAAGUGAGCAAUAUAUGUGUUGUGUGGUCUGUACCUCAGUUUAGAUGAUAACUGUAAGGUGUUUAAAGUUAGGUUUAUGUAUGCAAUAAUAAAUAAUUGUAUGUAGAUGUUUUUUAUCAGCAUUACAUGAAUAUUUUUAGAAGGACUUUGUGAUUGUAUUUAGUCAACCUACUUACAUUCCACCCAUUUUAGAGAACUUUUCAUCCCGUACACCUCUUGUGUGAGAUUUGAACCCAUUCCAACCGAUUCUGUGGAGAAUAAACCAUAUAUUGAAAACAA
rnacentral:lncRNA from 1 species